GUAGGAACAGCACAGCUGCAAAUCCGACUCGCGUGCAGUGCGCUUGGGAUUGCGGCAGUGC
rnacentral:ncRNA from 1 species